UACGUAGGGUGCAAGCGUUGUCCGGAAUUAUUGGGCGUAAAGAGCUCGUAGGCGGUCUGUCGCGUCGGAUGUGAAAAUCCAGGGCUCAACCCUGGACCUGCAUUCGAUACGGGCAGACUAGAGUUCGGCAGGGGAGACUGGAAUUCCUGGUGUAGCGGUGAAAUGUGCAGAUAUCAGGAGGAACACCGGUGGCGAAGGCGGGUCUCUGGGCCGAAACUGACGCUGAGGAGCGAAAGCGUGGGGAGCAAACAGG
rnacentral:rRNA from 1 species